AAAACCAUUACAUUCCUUGCUCCACUCAGAAUUUAAAAAGAGAAAAUACUGUUGACGGAUGUGCUAGUGUUUUAAAUGGGAAGCUGUGAAGGUAGGUUUCAUAGAAUAUAGUUUAAUUUUUAUCUGUAUGCACUUAUAAAUCAUGACUAAUGUGAAACGAUUCUGAGUGAAGUUUGGUAAACAUAUAUUAAUGUUUCGUGAUUUUAUUAACGAUAUUGAUUAAAAU